UUUUUUUUAAUCCCAAUUAAAGCUCCUAAAGAUAUGCAACAUAUCUUGCAAGUGCUCCUUCAGUUUUGUGUGUUUAGACCUUUCAAAGAUAAUGUACAGAGAGAAAGAAACAGAGAGAGGACAGCUUCGUGGUAGCUUCAAUCGUCAUUUUAGGUUUUUUUUUUCUUUACAAUUUUUUAUGUGCCCGUUGACAAAGGAAUGAGUGUGUUCUCAACUCAAAAUAAUUCUGGCUAUACUAUUCUUAUCUCCAACUACUUGUACAGCUCUUUUGAGCAACCAACUUGAAAAAACAAAUGGAACUAUUAUACUAAUUAGUUGUAAUUCUAGCCUGCCUAUUUAAGAACUCCUCGUGGAUAUGGAGUACAUGACAGCAGUUUCUAACUAUUAUUCUAAUUAGUUGUAAUUCUAGCCUGCCUAUUUAAGAACUCCUCCUCGUGGAUAUGGAGUACAUGACAGCAGUUUCUUCUCAUUCUACUAAUCUUCUUCUCACAACAUCUCCUACCAUUACUCUCCCACUUACUAUUUUAUUGAUAAUAAACCAAUAUAUUUCCUUCUCUUUGGGCAGCCUUUUCUCAAGCUCUUUCAUACCUGCCUACAAACACAUUUCCACUUCCUUCUCUUGGGAAGUUCUUUCUGCCUCCCUUUACAGUUCUUACUUUCAGAAGAUCUGCAUCUCCACUUCUUUCUCUUGGGAAGUUCUUUCUGCCUCCCUUUACAGUUCCUACUUUCAGAAGAUCUCCAACUUCUCUACCUCUCAUCUAUAGAUACAGAGAGGCAGAUAAUACAUAUUAACUAAGAUGAUAUCAGUGGGUAUGUGCAUUGGAGCUUUUCUUGUUCUAAUCAUUAUACAUUGGGUUUACAACUGGAGGAAUCCCAGAUGCAAUGGAAAACUCCCACCAGGUUCAAUGGGCUGGCCGUUACUUGGCGAGACCAUUCCAUUCUUUGCCCCCAAUACAUCAUCAGAUAUUGCUCCCUUUGUGAAGGACAGGAUGCAAAGGUGGUUGCUGCAAUCCACUCUUUUUGGUUUUAUUAUAUAGUAAUAAUAAUACAAACUGACAUUACCAGACUUCAUUUUACGAUCCUAAUAAACAAGUCUUUGGCAAUUCUUUCAGGUAUGGGCCAAUUUUUCGAACUAGCGUGGUGGGACGUCCUGUUAUAGCAUCUACGGACCCCGACCUAAAUUACUUCAUCUUUCAGCAAGAGGGACAGUUGUUUCAGAGCUGGUAUCCGGAUACAUUCACUGAGAUAUUUGG
rnacentral:lncRNA from 1 species